CCACAUACGCAUCCUUUGCUGAGGAGACGGUUAACGGAGCGAAAGCGACGUUCAACCUCAAAAGAAGCAGAGGGGGCUUAGUGGUGGGGUGACUGCGUACCUUUUGUAUAAUGGGUCAGCGACUUAUAUUCUGUAGCAAGGUUAACUGUAUAGGGGAGCCGGAGGGAAACCGAGUCUUAACCGGGCGUUAAGUUGCAGGGUAUAGACCCGAAACCCGGUGAUCUAGCCAUGGGCAGGUUGAAGGUUGGGUAACACUAACUGGAGGACCGAACCGACUAAUGUUGAAAAAUUAGCGGAUGACCUGUGGCUGGGGGUGAAAGGCCAAUCAAACCGGGAGAUAGCUGGUUCUCCCCGAAAGCUAUUUAGGUAGCGCCUCGUGAAUUCAUCUCCGGGGGUAGAGCACUGUUUCGGCUAGGGGGCCAUCCCGGCUUACCAACCCGAUGCAAACUGCGAAUACCGGAGAAUGUUAUCACGGGAGACACACGGCGGGUGCUAAUGUCCGUCGUGAAGAGGGAAACAACCCAGACCGCCAGCUAAGGUCCCAAAGUCAUGGUUAAGUGGGAAACGAUGUGGGAAGGCCCAGACAGCCAGGAUGUUGGCUUAGAAGCAGCCAUCAUUUAAAGAAAGCGUAAUAGCUCACUGGUCGAGUCGGCCUGCGCGGAAGAUGUAACGGGGCUAAACCAUGCACCGAAGCUGCGGCAGCGACACCGUGUGUUGUUGGGUAGGGGAGCGUUCUGUAAGCCUGUGAAGGUGUGCUGUGAGGCAUGCUGGAGGUAUCAGAAGUGCGAAUGCUGACAUAAGUAACGAUAAAGCGGGUGAAAAGCCCGCUCGCCGGAAGACCAAGGGUUCCUGUCCAACGUUAAUCGGGGCAGGGUGAGUCGACCCCUAAGGCGAGGCCGAAAGGCGUAGUCGAUGGGAAACGGGUUAAUAUUCCCGUACUUGGUGUUACUGCGAAGGGGGGACGGAGAAGGCUAUGUUGGCCGGGCGACGGUUGUCCCGGUUUAAGCGUGUAGGUAUGUGUUCCAGGUAAAUCCGGUUCACUUUAACACUGAGGCGUGACGACGAGGCACUACGGUGCUGAAGCAACAAAUGCCCUGCUUCCAGGAAAAGCCUCUAAGCAUCAGGUAACAUCAAAUCGUACCCCAAACCGACACAGGUGGUCAGGUAGAGAAUACCAAGGCGCUUGAGAGAACUCGGGUGAAGGAACUAGGCAAAAUGGUGCCGUAACUUCGGGAGAAGGCACGCUGACACGUAGGUGAAGUGAUUUACUCACGGAGCUGAAGUCAGCCGAAGAUACCAGCUGGCUGCAACUGUUUAUUAAAAACACAGCACUGUGCAAACACGAAAGUGGACGUAUACGGUGUGACGCCUGCCCGGUGCCGGAAGGUUAAUUGAUGGGGUCAGCGCAAGCGAAGCUCCUGAUCGAAGCCCCGGUAAACGGCGGCCGUAACUAUAACGGUCCUAAGGUAGCGAAAUUCCUUGUCGGGUAAGUUCCGACCUGCACGAAUGGCGUAAUGAUGGCCAGGCUGUCUCCACCCGAGACUCAGUGAAAUUGAACUCGCUGUGAAGAUGCAGUGUACCCGCGGCAAGACGGAAAGACCCCGUGAACCUUUACUAUAGCUUGACACUGAACAUUGAGCCUUGAUGUGUAGGAUAGGUGGGAGGCUUUGAAGUGUGGACGCCAGUCUGCAUGGAGCCGACCUUGAAAUACCACCCUUUAAUGUUUGAUGUUCUAACGUGGACCCGUGAUCCGGGUUGCGGACAGUGUCUGGUGGGUAGUUUGACUGGGGCGGUCUCCUCCUAAAGAGUAACGGAGGAGCACGAAGGUUGGCUAAUCCUGGUCGGACAUCAGGAGGUUAGUGCAAUGGCAUAAGCCAGCUUGACUGCGAGCGUGACGGCGCGAGCAGGUGCGAAAGCAGGUCAUAGUGAUCCGGUGGUUCUGAAUGGAAGGGCCAUCGCUCAACGGAUAAAAGGUACUCCGGGGAUAACAGGCUGAUACCGC
rnacentral:rRNA from 1 species